GCGGUUUGGGAGGAUAAGGCACAAAAACAUUUUGACUCCAUUGGCGUACCAUUUCAUGAAGGAGGAGAAGCUUAUGGUGUCAGAGUUCAUGCCUAAAGGAAGCUUGUUGUAUUUAUUGCAUGGCGAUCGCGGAUUUUGCCAUACUGAACUCACUUGGGCAACCCGUCUAAAGAUAAUCAAGGGAAUUGCAAGUGGAUUAAGUUUUCUGCAUUCGGAGUAUGCAAACUAUAACCUUCCCCAUGGAAAUCUCAAGUCCAGCAAUGUUCUUUUAAAUGAAACUUACGAGCCACUUCUGGGUGACUAUGCCUUGGAUCCACUAAUCAAUCCCAGUCAUUCUGCACAGGUAAUGUUUGCUUAUAAAUCACCAGAAUAUAUAGUAAACCGUCAGGUUUCUCCCAAGUCAGAUGUGUAUUGUCUCGGAAUCAUCAUUCUUGAAGUGGUCACUGGAAAAUUCCCUUCUCAGUAUCUUAGCAAUGGUAAGGGAGGGACAGAUGUUGUGCAAUGGACCCACCAAGCAAGCUCGGAAGGGAAAGAGAAAGAAUUAAUCGAUCCUGAGAUAGCAAACAAUAGCAGUUCGGAUUCAGUUCAGCAGAUGGUGCAAUUGCUUCGUAUUGGAGCUACUUGCGCUGAAAGUAAUACAGCGCAACGGAUAAAUAUGAGUGAAGCAAUUAGGAGGAUAGAAGAAAUACAGGUUUGAGGAUUUUGAUCAUACACAAAUAGGUUAAUUUGCAAGUUUCUUAAUUUGUUAGGCAAAGAAAGAAAGGUUGUGAGCUUCCAAGUCCAUUCCUUCAUUUACAAAUCAAACGUGGAUGACAAUAGCUCAAGAGAAAGAUGUUGAGUUGAGUAAAGGUAGGCCUAGCCUUGAUUUGCUUACCAUAAUUUCUUGAGAAAAACAUCAACAGAAUUUGUAAGACAAAUCUUGGUUGUGGCUUUGCAGAUGAACAACAUCUCCCAAAAAUUGUACAUUAAGAUUUAAGAUCGAUACACUUCUUCUUACAGAUCGAGUCACCCUGGGAUCGAUGGUUUAAUUAGAAGGGC
rnacentral:misc_RNA from 1 species